CUACGAAGUCUUGCGGGCUGGCGAGGAAAACGGCAGCACCCACUUACUGCACAUGAGCCAAACUGAGGAAGGGAUGGAGGAGGCGUGAGUCGAACAACAACCGACGUGUGCAGCGGAAACUCGGCGAUGCUCAACUGGGACCGGGAUCACGAAAAAACACCUUUACCUCGAGGCGAAAAGUGUCCCCUGCAGGACCUCCAGAAGAAACACCAGUCCACGCAACGGUACCUUGCACAAGAAUGUGCCAACCUGCACUAUUAAUCCAGCUAGGUUUUCAUGGACAUUUUCAUUAAUUUUAUUGCCCUUGAAGUUAUU
rnacentral:lncRNA from 1 species